rnacentral:rRNA from 1 species
GACAGAGGUGCCAAGCGUUAGGCGGAAUCACUGGGCUUAAAGCGUGUGUAGGCGGAAUGGUAAGUACCUUGUGAAAUCCCACGGCUCAACCGUGGAACUGCUUGGUAUACUGCUUUUCUUGAGCCACUUAGGGGCAACCGGAACAAACGGUGGAGCGGUGAAAUGCGCAGAUAUCAGGAGGAACACCGAUGGCGAAGGCAGGCUCU